CUAUACCAUCAUACCCCCCAAAUGUCCCCAAUCUUGUCUGAUCUUGGAAGCUAAGCAGGGUCGGGCCUGGUUAGUAUUUGGAUGGGAGACUCCCUUGGGAAUAAAAAAUCCUGUGCU
rnacentral:rRNA from 1 species